AGCAGCCGCGGUAAUUCCAGCUCCAAUAGCGUAUAUUAAAGUUGUUGCAGUUAAAAAGCUCGUAGUUGAAUUUUGGAUUCUUCCAAUUGGUCCAUCUUUUAGAUGAGUACUGGUUGUGUGGGGUCUAUCCGCCUGGUGAUACGUAAUGUCCUUUAUUGGAUGUUGCGGGUAGUCAGGACCUUUACCUUGAAAAAAUUAGAGUGUUUAAAGCAGGCUUAUGCCGGAAUACAUUAGCAUGGAAUAAUAGAAUAGGACGAAGUUGUUUUAUUUUGUUGGUUUCUAGGACAACCGUAAUGAUUAAUAGGGAUAGUUGGGGGCAUUAGUAUUCAAUUGUCAGAGGUGAAAUUCUUGGAUUUAUUGAAGACUAACUACUGCGAAAGCAUUUGCCAAGGAUGUUUUCAUUAAUCAAGAACGAAAGUUAGGGGAUCGAAGACGAUCAGAUACCGUCGUAGUCUUAACCAUAAACUAUGCCGACUAGGGAUCGGGCGAUGUUGUUUCCAUGACUCGCUCGGCACCUUAUG
rnacentral:rRNA from 2 species